CAAAUAAGAAGUCAAGCAUUACGACAUAUCAUGUUUGUCUGUGCGCCUUUCAUUACAAUUACAACAUGGAGUCACGUACAUCUGCAGAUUAUUUCUAAAAUAUCUCAUUAUUCUCUGUUGGAAAAAAGAUAAAUCCUCGGAAUUUGACUUUAAUAUUUUUUGUUAUAUCUUGAAGAAAAUAGGGAAAUGCGGAAAAAGUAUUUUCCUUCUCUUCAGUCCCUUUGUAAUAUUUAUCAAAUGCGGGUCAAAAAGAUAAAGAUGAUCUCAAAUUAUUAAGGAAGAACUUAUAUUACGAUUUCGUCCUCGCAUAUUUUCCAUCUACGUGAUUACUAAAUAAAACGCUUCGAUUUACACGACAUACAUUCUUAUAUUUGAAACUCGUCUGAAAGUUUCAUCUCGA